rnacentral:tRNA from 1 species
GAGGAUGUAGCUCAGGCGGUAGAGCAACGGACUUUUAAUCCGUAGGUCGCGGGUUCGAAUCCCGCCAUCCUCA